AGAUGGGUGCUGGAGUGGUUGAACAGGGCAGUCUCGAAAACUGCUAUACUCGCAAGGGUAUCGAGGGUUCGAAUCCCUUCCCAUCUGCCA
rnacentral:tRNA from 1 species